GAAGAACGCUGGCGGCGUGCCUAAUACAUGCAAGUCGAGCGAACGGACGAGAAGCUUGCUUCUCUGAUGUUAGCGGCGGACGGGUGAGUAACACGUGGAUAACCUACCUAUAAGACUGGGAUAACUUCGGGAAACCGGAGCUAAUACCGGAUAAUAUUUUGAACCGCAUGGUUCAAAAGUGAAAGACGGUCUUGCUGUCACUUAUAGAUGGAUCCGCGCUGCAUUAGCUAGUUGGUAAGGUAACGGCUUACCAAGGCAACGAUGCAUAGCCGACCUGAGAGGGUGAUCGGCCACACUGGAACUGAGACACGGUCCAGACUCCUACGGGAGGCAGCAGUAGGGAAUCUUCCGCAAUGGGCGAAAGCCUGACGGAGCAACGCCGCGUGAGUGAUGAAGGUCUUCGGAUCGUAAAACUCUGUUAUUAGGGAAGAACAUAUGUGUAAGUAACUGUGCACAUCUCGACGGUACCUAAUCAGAAAGCCACGGCUAACUACGUG
rnacentral:rRNA from 1 species